GCCGCUGGAGAGGCGAGGGGAGCGGGUGUCUGGUGGCCGGGCCGGGCGGUGGGUGGCUGGGACGGUGGAGUCUGAGCGUGUGCUGGUCGGUGACGCUGGUGGAUAACGGGAGACGGUGAGGGACGCUGGUGGAUAACGGGAGACGGAUGUGCAGCAUGACGUUCUUCGACAGCCAUCGGUGUCGGACGGGGAACGGCGUCGUCAGAGCCUUGCUGACUAACAAAACAGCAGCGGCGGGCCGACACAGCAAAACGGCACCGACCGGCCACUUUGCAACGGAACGGUGAGAGAGGCGGAGGUGGGGCGCCUUCUGGCGCCACCUCAUGCGGAUCGACAUACAAAACGAGGCGGAGCGGUCGUCGCUGCAGAUGGCGCCACCGGGGCUGGCGAGCGACCUCCAGCGAGCGACCUCACACUGCGCCAGCGUGAGGAGAAAAACCAGGCCCCGGAUUACCCACCUGCACUCCAUGACGAGCCGGUCGUGGGGACUGCAGGAACAACAGCUCCGGAUAUGUCUAACAGCUGGACCGUGAGCUAGAUCGAUGGCUCGCGUGGUGACCGGCUGCACACGACCAAGCCCGGCAGCGCCGCUCAUGGCGGAAGCCGGACUACCAGUCGCCCAGAUCAGGCGAGGUACUCUGGUCACCAAGAUGACCGGCUGAUGGCCUGGCGAGAUCGCUACCCGAAGACGACCCACUGCGAGUGAUCGCCGACCAAGAUCCCCCUCGCCGACUGAAGUCGACCACCGGGUGGAGACGCCUGGGGAGAGAGGCCCUCCGAGCCUGCUCCCUGGAGGACGUGCUUGUGGAGGAGCGCGUGCAGGUGAUGCUCCCCCGUGGUACGGCCCGGGAGCGACGAAGUUAUCUCAGAGUAUGAGCAAGGCGGCUAGCCGGGACGCCCCCGCCACGAUCCGCCGCCGGACCGCUGAGAACCACCUCGCCACCCUUCAGCAGACGCUCGCUGGAUUUAGAGCGAUGGCUCAGCGGAGAGCGGCACGACGCACGGCGGCGGCGGUGCCCUCCUACUGCUUAGGAGCGGGGAGACCCGGGCGAUCAGGGUCGCCGCAAGGCGCCUGUGCUCCAGUACCCGCGCUGAACUAUGCGCCAUCAAAGCGGCGCUGGAGGUCGGCAGCCUGUCAGGUGCCCAGACAGAAGGACCCGUGGUUCCGUGCACCAACUCCCAGGCGGCGCUGUCCCAGCUGGCCGGAGGUGCGGGAUCGCAAACCACUCCGAUAGGUGCGGCGACCUGGGCCCUGCUGCUCAGCAUCUCCCCCAGAGACCAAGAGGUGAUGCUACAGUGGGUACCAGCGCACUGCGGUCUACCCAGAAACGAGAAGGCGGUGAGCUGGCAAGGGAAGCAGCCGGACUCCAGCAGGAGGCGCCAGCGAAUGUCCGCACCAUCACAGGCGCCGUGGCCAGGACGGCUGCAGGGGCAUGGCGCAAGUCAUGGCCGGACUCUUUCUUCCGGUGAAUCUGGGGAGACCGCAUCCGGUCUCCGGCGUGAGCAGGAGCAAGGCGGUGGAUGCUCACCAGUUGCGGGCCGGUCAAAAGGGAAUGGCCCGUCAGUACCUUCACCGCAUCGGCCGCCUCCCGACGAACUUGUGCCCCGGGUGGCCUGAGGACAGCCCAGCGGCAUGCUGCAUCGUAUGCAAAGAAGAGGCGGACACCCCGGAGCACGUGCUGCUCCGGUGUCCGAGUCUCGCCGAUCUCCGUCUUCGGAUGUUCGGCAACAUCCACGUGGAGCCUGCGCAGCUGUGCGACGGCAACGUUGUCGCACAGCUGUCUGCGGGCUGGGCCCGCAGCUUCAGGCGCCAUCUGGAGCCGCUGGCUGACGGGCGACCUGGACGUCGCCCGGGAAGAGCAACAACAACAACAGCAGCAGCAACAACAACAACAACAACAACAACAACAACAACAACAACAACAACAACAACAACAACAACAACAACAACAACAACAACAACAACAACAACAACAACAACAACAACAGCGACAUUCGGCAGCUGGCGCCGCGCUCGGUGGAGCUCACCGCUGGCACAGAUGGCAGCACCGUCGCUCAUAAGGCUUCGGCUGCCCGUCCGUGCGCGUAUUUCGAACCGACGGACCUCUGUUUCACAUCUCCUGCUGGGAUUGAAUCUGAUGAUGCAAUGUUACUAGGACUUGCCGUCACAGCUUCGUCGGUAACAGGUUCUCAGGAACCCUAAAUUAGCAGUGCCUUUAAAUAGGCGCGCCUAUUCUCAAGCCGUGGACGUGUUUUCUGUACAGCUCACACCUCAGAUCCGUUCGUUGCACGUUUGCCGCGUAGCUGCACCUCGUCGACUGUUUGUGCUGUAAAUGUCUCUCGUUGAUUGCUGGUGGUAGGGAUGACUUAAGUAGCCCGGAAGCUGACCUCAAGGAAGAUGUUUGUACCGUCAAUUGUCCCUGCCAUGUGUGUACACUGCAUCUGUCGUCUUCUUACUGUCAUCGCCGUGUCGUUGUCCGAGCGAACGUUGAGACAAUCGCUUCAUAUCGAUAUGGAACGCUUCGUUGUCCGUCAUUUCGCAUUCGAUCACUGUUAACGUCAUAAUGUAAAAGUGUGGUUCUUCUCGAUCAUUCAAGAGUGUGCUGCUGGUGUUUUCCGUGUGUGCAAACCACCGAUCUGUCAAGCGCAAAAAAGACUGAUAGUAAGACGGAAUGUCGAAAGAUAAGUCGCCUUUAUCUUCAUAAAUAACGUGAUGUUGGCACCUCAGCGGUUCCUUUGGACCCGCGAGGCGUGGGCGAGCGGUUAGUGCGUAGAUUGUUUAGUGUUGUGGCUGGCGAAUAAAGGUCGAAAAACAA